rnacentral:lncRNA from 1 species
GCUGGGCAGCCAAGUGUGUGAAGUUGGGGAAAGGCUGACAUCCAUGUCGCCUGAGCUCUGUCCUGCACGUGGCCUUCAAGCUGCCGGCCUCAGCGUUGAUCUCGAUGCCCUUCGGAGCCUCCAUCACCAGUGCGCGCGUGGGUGACUCCAGUCUGAAAGAGAAAAGGGCCUUACUGAGCCUCGUGGGCUGAGGAUUCGCCUGUAGCCUUUGGCUGUGAUCUUGAACAGUCUGAGUGCACACUGCAAGGCAGCCUGGCACCACCCGAAGUUCAGAUUCACAGCUGGUUCAGUCAGCAGCAAGAAACCACGUGCAACCACAGAAUCAUAAAGGAUGGAACAUACCACUAAGAUCACCUACUCCAACCCCAACCUGCUCCCACCAUGCCCACUAACCCACGUUCCUCAGUGUGACAUCCACCUUCUUCAUGAAUGCCUCCAGGGAUGGUGACUCCACCACCUCCCUGGGCAGCCUGUGCCAAUGCCGGACCACUGAAAUCUUUCCUAAUAUCUAACCUGAAUGUGGUAAAAGACUCUACAAAUCCAAUCUGCCAGCAUUUCACAUCAGCUUUGCUGAGCUGUAAAUGCUGGAACGAGAAGCGAGGUGCAAUAAAGCUUCUGCCGUGAUUAACUCCCUCAUGCAAUGGCUUGGAUUUGUAACUAAUGAAUACUAACGGAGGAUAUUAGCAAAGCAGGAUAGCUACACAGAGAGCACAAGCACUUUUCCUCCUCAAAGCACUGCUAAGCAGGAGCAAAUUCAUUCUCAUGACUCCCUGUAACGUGAAAUGUUUAAAGGUUUAAUGACAUAAGAAAAUGGACAAAAGAAAAAGAUGGAAAUCCCCCACAUUCCCAGUCUCCGGUGCUAUGCUCACAUUGCAGUGCUCACAGCAGCAGCCUCCCCAGUGCUUUGACCCGUCCUAACUGUGGUUAUGUGAGGGAGAUCUGACAACCCCAUUACAGCUCUGGCUAACACAGCCAAACCUUUUAGUUCAGGCAAUUGAGGUUAAUGCUCUAAGAU